rnacentral:rRNA from 1 species
UACGAAGGGGGGCUAGCGUUGCUCGGAAUCACUGGGCGUAAAGGGUGCGUAGGCGGGUUUUAAGUCAGAGGUGAAAUCCUGGAGCUCAACUCCAGAACUGCCUUUGAUACUGAAAGUCUUGAGUAUGGGGAGGUGAGUGGAACUGCGAGUGUAGAGGUGAAAUUCGUAGAUAUCGCAGAACACCAGUGGCGAAGGCGGCUCACUGGCCCACUAACUGACGC